GCGGAGACGCAUGUUUCCGUUCACUCCUCACACCACACUCCGCUCGGACUUCUGUUCGGGCGGUU
rnacentral:sRNA from 1 species